GUGCUCAUGUUAGCACCACAUAUACUAAAAUUGGAACAAUAGAGAAGAUUAGCAUGGCCCCUGUGCAAGGAUAACAUGCAACUUCAUGAAGCAUUCCAUAUUUUU